AUGCAUCAAGUCCAUCAAAAAUUAGGAAGUCUAUAAAUAAAAUCCAAACCAAAAUAAAAAAAUCCAAACCCAAAACCUAAAUCAAAUCCCCAAACCAAAACCAUGUCUACAAAUAAAACCCAAAAUCAAAUACAAUUCACAGAUAAGCCCAAAACCAAUCCAAUCCACAAAUAAAAUCCCAAACUCAAAUCCAAUCAUCCGGAUCACAAAUAAAAAACCAAAUCCCAUACACAAAUCCCAUAAACCAUGAACCAAGUUCGUGAACCAAACACCACGAACCAUACCUAAGUUCAUGAACCAAAUCUCAUAAACCAUGAACCAAGCUCAUGAAGCUUAUCCAAGUUCGUGAACCAAACACCACGAACCAUACCCAAGUCCCAUAAACCAUGAAUCAAGUUCGUGAACCAAACACCACGAAUCAUACCCAAGUUCAUACACCAUGAACCAUAAACCAUACAUCGAAUUCAUGAAGCAUAAACUAUGAACCAUAUCCAUGAACCAAACACCACGAACCAUACCCAAAUUCAUACACCAUGAACCAUAAACCAUAAACCAUACACCAAAUUCAUGAAGCAUAAACUAUGAACCAUAUCCAUGAACCAAAUCUCAUGAACCAUACGCUAAGUUCAUGAACCCGUAAACCAUACCCAAGUUCAU
rnacentral:lncRNA from 1 species